AGAGUUUGAUCCUGGCUCAGAACGAACGCUGGCGGCAGGCUUAACACAUGCAAGUCGAACGCACCGCAAGGUGAGUGGCAGACGGGUGAGUAACGCGUGGGAACGUGCCCUUCAGUCCGGGAUAACCCAGGGAAACUUGGGCUAAUACCGGAUACGUGCGAGAGCAGAAAGAUUCAUCGCUGAAGGAUCGGCCCGCGUCUGAUUAGCUAGUUGGUAGGGUAAUGGCCUACCAAGGCGACGAUCAGUAGCUGGUCUGAGAGGAUGAUCAGCCACAUUGGGACUGAGACACGGCCCAAACUCCUACGGGAGGCAGCAGUGGGGAAUAUUGGACAAUGGGCGCAAGCCUGAUCCAGCCAUGCCGCGUGAGUGAUGAAGGCCUUAGGGUUGUAAAGCUCUUUCGUCCGGGACGAUAAUGACGGUACCGGAAGAAGAAGCCCCGGCUAACUUCGUGCCAGCAGCCGCGGUAAUACGAAGGGGGCUAGCGUUGUUCGGAAUCACUGGGCGUAAAGGGCGCGUAGGCGGCCUGAUAAGUCGGGGGUGAAAGCCUGUGGCUCAACCACAGAAUUGCCUUCGAUACUGUCGGGCUUGAGACCGGAAGAGGUAAGUGGAACUGCGAGUGUAGAGGUGAAAUUCGUAGAUAUUCGCAAGAACACCAGUGGCGAAGGCGGCUUACUGGUCCGGUUCUGACGCUGAGGCGCGAAAGCGUGGGGAGCAAACAGGAUUAGAUACCCUAGUAGUCC
rnacentral:rRNA from 1 species